rnacentral:rRNA from 1 species
CCCUUAGAUGUUCUGGGCCGCACGCGUGCUACACUGAGUGGAUCAGCGGGUCAGGUUGCGCGAAAGCGUUUCCUAAUCUUUAAAUCCGCUCGUGAUGGGGAUUGACGGUUGCAAUUUUCUGUCAUGAACGAGGAAUACCUUGUAAGCGCGGGUCAUCAUCCCGCGCUGAAUACGUCCCUGCCCUUUGUACACACCGCCCGUCGCUACUACUGAUUGGGUGUUCAAGUGAGAUGCUUAGACCCUUGUUGCAUGGUUCAUUAUUGUGCUCCGAAAGGAAAAAGUUUCAAGCUUGAGUGUAUAGAGGAAGUAAAAGUCGUAACA